CCUGAUACAAGUAAAUUUGAUUAUUCCUACGAGUACACUAGACCGCCUUGUACAAGUAAAUUUGAUUAUUCGUACGAUUACACUAGACCACCUUGUACAAGUAAAUUCUUGUACCGGUUCGGAUCCUGUACAGAUCGAACUUCUGUUUUUAGUUUUUCCAGAACAAAAAUGGAAGAUACAAAUAAGAUGAAUGAGAAGAAGGAGAUGAAGGUUAAGAAGAUAAAAGCGUCUCGGAGUAUGCUAGAUGUCGCUGCAUACCUUGUCGCGAAGAAUAGAAUUCAUGAUUCAGAUGAUUUAUGGUUCGGGGAGGAAAAUAAGGAUGACGUGGAAAUGUUUUGCAGGGUGAAAGAACCAACUGGAAGGGAAGAAAAUAAAAGCGAAGAGAAUGAAGAAAAA